GCUAGUAAUCGCGGAUCAGCAUGCCGCGGUGAAUACGUUCCCGGGCCUUGUACACACCGCCCGUCACACCAUGAGAGUCGGGAACACCCGAAGUCCGUAGCCUAACAGCAAUGGGGGCGCGGCCGAAGGUGGGUUCGAUAAUUGGGUGAAGUCGUAACAAGGUAAC
rnacentral:rRNA from 1 species